CGCGUAGGCGGCCCGAUAAGUCUGCUGUGAAAGUCCAGGGCUCAACCCUGGAAUGCCAGUGGAUACUGUCGGGCUAGAGUACGGAAGAGGCGAGUGGAAUUCCUGGUGUAGCGGUGGAAUGCGCAGAUAUCAGGAGGAACACCAAUAGCGAAGGCAGCUCGCUGGGACGUUACUGACGCUGAGGCGCGAAAGCGUGGGAGCAAACA
rnacentral:rRNA from 1 species